rnacentral:rRNA from 1 species
UCGAGCGAGACCAGGCCUUCGGGCCUGGGGACAGCGGCGAACGGGUGAGUAACACGUGGGUAAUCUGCCCUCGAUUCUGGGAUAGCCCGGGGAAACCCGGAUUAAUACCGGAUAGCCUCUCGAGCUCAUGGGCUCGUGAGAAAAGGUAGCUUCGGCCUCCGAUCGAGGAUGAGCCCGCGGCGGAUUAGCUUGUUGGUGGGGUAACGGCUCACCAAGGCGACGAUCCGUAGCUGGUCUGAGAGGACGAUCAGCCACACUGGGACUGAGACACGGCCCAGACUCCUACGGGAGGCAGCAGUGGGGAAUCUUGCGCAAUGGGCGAAAGCCUGACGCAGCGACGCCGCGUGGGGGAAGAAGGCCUUCGGGUUGUGAACCUCUUUCAGCAGGGACGAAGCCACUCGGGUGAAUAGCCCAGAGGGUGACGGUACCUGCAGAAGAAGCCCCGGCUAACUACGUGCCAGCAGCCGCGGUAAUACGUAGGGGGCAAGCGUUG